rnacentral:rRNA from 1 species
GAUGAACGCUAGCUACAGGCUUAACACAUGCAAGUCGAGGGGAAACGAUAGAGAAAGCUUGCUUUUUCUAGGCGUCGACCGGCGCACGGGUGAGUAACGCGUAUCCAACCUGCCCACCACUUGGGGAUAACCUUGCGAAAGUAAGACUAAUACCCAAUGACGUCUCUAGAAGACAUCUGAAAGAGAUUAAAGAUUUAUCGGUGAUGGAUGGGGAUGCGUCUGAUUAGCUUGUUGGCGGGGUAACGGCCCACCAAGGCGGCGAUCAGUAGGGGUUCUGAGAGGAAGGUCCCCCACAUUGGAACUGAGACACGGUCCAAACUCCUACGGGAGGCAGCAGUGAGGAAUAAUGGUCAAUGGACGAGAGUCUGAACCAGCCAAGUAGCGUGCAGGAUGACGGCCCUAUGGGUUGUAAACUGCUUUUAUAAGGGAAUAAAGUGAGAGUCGUGACUCUUUUUGCAUGUACCUUAUGAAUAAGGACCGGCUAAUUCCGUGCCAGCAGCCGCCGUAA